rnacentral:lncRNA from 10 species
UCUGAGUUUGUGCCAGGAGCCCAUAAUACACCAAGUUAAAAAGUUCAUAAACAUAGCUAUCAAAACCUAUCUUUUAAGAACAUAACAUUUGGGAAGUUCUCAAAGGGAAUUGAUGGCUUACAAGAUUUGCUUCUUUUUUGGAGAAAUCUACCUUGAAUGGCACCAGAAGCUUGAAAUCCACAUUGUAAACUUUAACCCUGAAAAUAGCCACUUAAUUACAAAUAAAAAAGAUCUCCAAUUUAAGAAAUGUUUUUGUUUGUUUUUAGUCUUUCAGUCACUUGAUAAUACAACUCUAGGCUGGAAUCCAGAAAACCAGUCUAAUUCAGUCACUUGACAGACAAAAAAAAAAACCCCUAAGAUGUAGAGGUAAAGUGACUUGCUUGGUCACACAGCUAAUUCACCAGAACCAAGAGUGAAACCCAGGCUUUCUGAUUCAGCUGUUUCCACACCUGGUAAAAGAACAAGGGGUUCUGCACUGCUCUGGCAAUUUUUCCUAAGCACGUGUUCCCAGGUGCUGAGAUGACUGUGUAGGUUGUGUGAACCUCAUACAACUGGGCUGCAUCUGAAGAGAUGUCAUUCAACCGUGGACACUGUAGAUCUGUACACAUUUUAUGAGAAUGUUCUGGCUGUUAGCAGUACAAUGGGUUGUGCUCAUGAAGGCAAGCAAUCUUGGAGAGACCCAAGUUGCAAAUCACUUCUCAGUCCCAGAGGCCGCAUGACAAGAAAGAAAAAAAAAACAACAACCCCUUUUUAUUUUUUAUCUUAAGCUCCAUUCUCCUUUGAAUUAAUGUUGACUUUGAAGAGAAAAAGGCAGCAAAUGAUGUAUUUUGGAAGAGUAGCGGUCAAAUUUAC